UCUCAUUCCUUUCCAUUGUAUCAUUUAAACAACUGGCUGGUGUUGAUGCUGGGUGACCGGUGUUCUCAACUCCUAUCCGAUAUGCAGGCUUUUAAGAAGGAGAGUCGAUGGGUGUUCCUCAACACACUAUUCUUGUUUCAGAAGUUGUAGCUUAUAUGCAGAUUCUGUCAAUUGAAGAGGCGGUGGCAAAUUCGUAGUUUACGUGAAAUUGAAUGGCAGUCAGGAGAAGCACAGCCGCCCGGUUGUCGUAAGGACUAAGGAGAAUCAACACAAGCAGAGAAGCACA